rnacentral:rRNA from 1 species
UACGUAGGGUGCAAGCGUUGUCCGGAAUUAUUGGGCGUAAAGAGCGUGUAGGCGGCCCGAUUAGUCCGCUGUGAAAGUCCAGGGCUCAACCCUGGAAUGCCGGUGGAUACUGUCGGGCUAGAGUCCGGAAGGGCGAGUGGAAUUCCUGGUGUAGCGGUGAAAUGCGCAGAUAUCAGGAGGAACACCAAUGGCGAAGGCAGCUCGCUGGGACGUGACUGACGCUGAGACGCGAAAGCGUGGGAGCAAACAGG